rnacentral:rRNA from 1 species
CCUACGGGAGGCAGCAGUGGGGAAUAUUGGGCAAUGGGGGAAACCCUGACCCAGCGACGCCGCGUGGGGGAAGAAGGUCUUCGGAUCGUAAACCCCUGUCGAGGGGGAAGAAGUCCCCGUAAGGGGAUUGACGGUACCCCUAAAGGAAGCGCCGGCUAACUACGUGCCAGCAGCCGCGGUAAAACGUAGGGCGCAAGCGUUGUUCGGAAUCACUGGGCGUAAAGGGCGCGUAGGCGGUCGAAAAAGUCGGGUGUGAAAUCCCUGGGCUUAACCCAGGAAUGGCGCCCGAUACUCUUCGACUUGAGGAUGGGAGAGGGAGGUGGAAUUCCCGGUGUAGCGGCGAAAUGCGUAGAUAUCGGGAGGAACACCAGUGGCGAAGGCGGCCUCCUGGACCAUCCCUGACGCUGAGG